ACGGAAGGCAGCAGUAGGGAAUCUUCCGCAAUGGACGAAAGUCUGACGGAGCGACGCCGCGUGGAUGAUGAAGGCCGGAAGGCUGUAAAAUCCUUUUAUAACUGAGGAAUAAGCAGUGUGAGAGAAACGCACUGUGGUGACUGUAGGUUAUGAAUAAGCAACGGCUAAUUACGUGCCAGCAGCCGCGGUAACACGUAAGUUGCGAGCGUUGUUCGGAAUUAUUGGGCGUAAAGGGCAUGUAGGCGGUUUUGCAAGCUUGGUGUGAAAUCCCGGAGCUUAACUCCGGAAUUGCGUUGAGAACUGCAUAACUAGAGUCACUGAGGGGCAAUCAGAAUUCCAGGUGUAGGGGUGAAAUCUGUAGAUAUCUGGAAGAAUACCAAUGGCGAAGGCAGGUUACCAGCAGAUGACUGACGCUGAGGUGCGAAGGUGCGGGGAGCAAACAGGAUUAGAUACCCUGGUA
rnacentral:rRNA from 1 species